rnacentral:rRNA from 1 species
ACUCAAAGGAAUUGACGGGGACCCGCACAACUGGUGGAGCGUGUGGUUUAAUUUGAGACGAAGCAAAAAACCUUACCAGGGCUUGACAUGUUACCGUUUUAUACCUAUGGAAACACUGGUAGAUCCUGAAAAGGAUGGUAAUGCAGGUGCUGCAUGGCUGUCGUCAGCUCGUGCCGUGAGGUGUUCCCUUAAGUGGGGAAACGAGCGCAACCCCCAUGGAAUGUUAAAUAUUCAUUUCAGACAGCCCCGAUCAUAUCGGGGAGGAAGGAGGGGAAGACGUCAAGUCAGCACGGCCCUUAUGCCCUGGGUCACACACACCCUACAAUGGCGAAUAACAAAGAGCUGCAAGCCGGCAACGGCAAGCUAAUCUCAGAAAUUUCGCCUCAGUUCAGAUUGGGGGCUGCAACCCGCCCCCAUGAAGCCGGAAUCAGUAGUAAUCGCGGAUCAGCAGGCCGCGGUGAAUACGUUCUCGGGUCUUGUACACACCGCCCGU